rnacentral:lncRNA from 1 species
UUGUUGCAGCCUGCUGCAUGUGCUGGGCCGUGAGUGAAUGAGAGGUGUGGCAGCUGCUGUUAUUCUUCUAAUUGUAGCAUGAAUUUAGAUAUCACCCAGGAUCCAACAACGUCCAACCAGCAGCGUGUGCCUCUCCUCAACACAUACAACUGUUAUUUCUUUUGCGCAGUGCACCUCCUUUUUUACAGAAUCAGCACCCCCACUUUUCCUUAAUCUCAAAUAUGCCCUCUAAUAUUUAUUUCCCAAGGCCUUGCUAGAUGCACUCCAAGCCCAAAUACAAAUGAAAUGCAAGUGAGUGGUGGCUUAAACCUCAUUAAACUUCCAAAUGCCCCAAACUGUAUUUCUAAAAUUUUCCCUAAAAAUCAUAAUGCAAAUAAUUAGCUCAGAAAAUUCAAAUUAAGUAAAAUUCGAAUUUCCGGUCAAAUUAAGCACAAUUAGCAGAAACGGGAAAAUACCGGACAUUUAAGCACAAUUCCCUGAUUAAAUUCGGUACAAUAAACUAAGUGCAGUCAAUAAAAUAUCGACUCAUCA